rnacentral:lncRNA from 10 species
GCCGCCGCCGCCGCCGCCGCCCCGCCGCUUCCUCCUCCGCCUGCCGGCCUCCUUCGCCCCGUCCCGUCCGCGCAGCGCGUCCGGCCCGCCCGCAGGCCAGCUUCUCUCGGGAGCCCCCACCCAGGCGCAUGGCUCCAUGAAGCAAGAGGAGGAGGCAGAGCGCGAGAGGUCCCGUCCGCCCCAGCCGCGUCUGGGCCAGGAUAAAAGCAAAACCAUAUUCCUGCUGCUGUCAGUUAUGAUGCACUGAGAAAACUUCAGAGACCUAAACUUUUUCCAGAGAAGAGAAGCUUUACUGGUGUUCCAGCCCUAAGAAACCUUUGUUCAAGAAAACGGCAGAUGCUCUGUUGAAUCCACUGGAGAUUGUUCUGAUACUAAGGACAAGUAUGCUCAUAUGACAUUAACAGACAAGACACUUUUCAGAAAGACAGGCAACGUGUUGGACCUUCCGGAGCUUCUCAGAAGA